AACGAACGCUGGCGGCGUGGAUAAGACAUGCAAGUCGAACGAGAGAAUUGCUAGCUUGCUAAUAAUUCUCUAGUGGCGCACGGGUGAGUAACACGUGAGUAACCUGCCCCCGAGAGCGGGAUAGCCCUGGGAAACUGGGAUUAAUACCGCAUAGUAUCGAAAGAUUAAAGCAGCAAUGCGCUUGGGGAUGGGCUCGCGGCCUAUUAGUUAGUUGGUGAGGUAACGGCUCACCAAGGCGAUGACGGGUAGCCGGUCUGAGAGGAUGUCCGGCCACACUGGAACUGAGACACGGUCCAGACACCUACGGGUGGCAGCAGUCGAGAAUCAUUCACAAUGGGGGAAACCCUGAUGGUGCGACGCCGCGUGGGGGAAUGAAGGUCUUCGGAUUGUAAACCC
rnacentral:rRNA from 1 species